UCUUCCCUGCUAAUCGUUCAACCAACACAACAAGAACCUUUCCUCCUAUUUUCUCCAUUCAUCAUAAACAUUAACCUACAUAUUUCCAUUCACACUCUCUCUCUCUCUCUCAAUAUAUCUCCAAUUCAAUAAUAAACGCAUAGCAGUAAAAAGGGAAAGAUAUUAUCACAUUUCUUUUAAAACUAACUCUGACUUCACCAGAAGAAAAAACAACUUGCUGCAAAAAAACCUCCCACAUCAAAAAAACUCCCUCUAACACUACUCUUUAUUCACUUUAUUUUAACACCAUAAACCUCUUUCCACUUUUGAAAUAAAAGCCAUCAAAGUUCCAUCUUUUUUUAUAAAGAACAACCUUAAGCAAGCUAGUCUCCAUACAAGACAACUCCUCUCUUACAUCAACAACAUAUAACUUUCUACUCACCUUCCAUUUUUUUCUCUUUUCCCAUGAACUAAACUCACACUUCAAAACUCAACACAUACUCACUUCAUAACCUCACAAAAACACUAUUGAACAACUUUAUUUCCUAUCAUUCUCAUUGGAUAAAAGAGAAAAAGAUAAGAACAUAAAAAAAACUGUAAAUACCACUUCUUCAUCUAACAACUCUGAAGCUCACAACACACCUCUCCAUCUUUAGGAAACACAACCUCAACAAGCCAAAAAAAACUCAUAACCAACCUUGCACUCACACUUCAGCCACCGUAUAACAACAACAUUUGCGCCAACUUCCGAUGACGUGACUACCACGUGCAAUGCACCUUCCACCAUACUGCAACCAACUACAACACCUCAAACAUUCACGCACCACUGCAUCUUGUCGUUUUUGCGUUCAAACACAACCAUCAACCAUCUUCAUCAAGUCGAGAACCACACACAACAACCUUACCAUACCACUGCGCGUCGUCACAAUAACUUCUAACAGCCCCAUGAACCACCCUUAAACACCUUUACUUCCACCUUAAAACCACAAGAAUCGCACCGUUCCGGAAGCCACAGUGAAACCCCCACCGUGAACAGUAACUCCAUACAACCUUCAGCCACCGUGAAAAAUGACGGAAGAGAUGAUGCACUAUACAACAAUCAUCGGAAAACCCUUCUCAUGUUGUUUCUGAACUGUCUCCGAUGAAUACUAAGACAGGAAGAGAUCUAUGAAGGGAAAAAACUUGAGUUUUUCUGUGUCUGCAAAAGUUAAACGGAAGAGACGAUGCACUACACAACAAUCAUCGGAAAACCCUUUUUUUAUACUUUUAUUAUUUUAUUGUGACAUGUGUCAAAUGCUUACUAGUCGUUUUUGAAUUUGAAUUUUUUUUAUUUUCCUUAGAUUUUUAUUGAUUUUAUUUUUUAUGUAUUUAUUCUGUUUUUAUUUUUUAUAUUAAUUAGGUUUAAGUAAGUUUGGAUUGGCCUUUAGGCCCAUAGUGAUUUUUGCAAACUCC
rnacentral:lncRNA from 1 species